CAUAAAUGGAGAAGUAAAACUGACAGAAGUUGGAGGUAGAAGGGGACAUUUCGGUGGAAAGACAGGCUUCCAGAGGGACUGCAAAGCCCUUUACCAUGGUCUGGAUGCUGGAGAAGGUGCCUUUCUACGGGGCCAUAGGGGUGCAGGGGCAGGCAGGACAGGAUGUUCUCCGAGUUCCAGCAGCAGGACCAUCCCUCAGAACGCGCAGCAGAGCCAUGAUUAGGGCUGAAGCCUGGUUGUGGGGCAAAGGCCUCGCCUCACCUUUCACCGCCGUCUCGCUUGAGAUGUCGCAAGUAUUUAGAGACUUGCCUUUUCCCCCCCUCUCAUCAGCUUUAUAACCCUGAACACAUUCUUAUUUUUCUUCCCAUCACUCAAUUUAUCAGCCCCUGGAACAAGUCUGUCACUCACCCGUGAGCCUAGAAGGCUCUCUGGUGAAUUGUAAGGCAGUUCACACUGGCUUGAUUGGGCAGAACAGGGUGGUGGUGGUUCUUAUCUUGGGUUUAAUUUGCUUAAGUUGUUCCUACCUCCUCUGCUCAGGUCUAGCGGCUCUUUGGGAGCUCUGGUCGGGUAUUUCGGUAGCAGGAUAAGAGUGGUUAAGAGCAUAAGUUUAGGCUGCGGAGGGGGCCUGGGUACAUGUCCCAGGUCUGCCAUUAAGGGCCACAUGACCCGGGACAUGUGGCUUGACCUCUCUGAGCCUCAAAGUUCUCAUCUGUAAAAUGGGAAAGAACAUUACCUGCCUCAAAGGAUUGCUGGGAGGAUGGAACGAGAAUGCUUAUGGAGCACUUAGGACUGCUCCAGGCACAAGGUUAUCCCCAUAAUCUUCCCAGCAGGACAAGGACAACCACAGGUCCGGGAUAAGGGUAUUGGGAUCAGAGAAUCAGGGGUUAUGAAGCCAGGCUUUUCGCCCUAGACAAGGGUGGAAGUGAAGAGGAAAGAGCUUGUUCUAGUUGAAAGAUCCAGUCAGGGUUCCUUAAGGUGGUAAAAGCCAAGAUUUUCAGGAUUGAAAGAGACCCUGGAAAUCCUCUGACUGAAAAGAAGGCAGCUCUGUAGCAGGAGAGUGAGAAAGAAGACGGGCCCGAGUGACCUCCACAAAGUACCACUUAUGAAGGAUUUGAGGUUUUGACGGGAGUGCCUGGCGGCUAAAAAUAGGACAGGACUGUGUGGGCUCCGUGAGCCUGGUUGCUCCUCAGGUGGAGAAAAAAGUUACCCCAUCCACCAGAGGGUCAGUUCCUCCUUUCCCCUGGAGGAGAUGCUGGAGACUUAGGAAACUGGAUGGACCAGGUCCUCGUUGCCGUAAUCUAGUUAUAACCAACCCAUGUUUCCCGUAUGGUCUGGCACAGAAACCAAAGGAAGGGUAUGCAGAGCUGGGCCCCGCUGGUUCCUUGGCAUGGCUGCUCUGCCCUCUGGGAAAGAUGGAGAAACCAGGGCUGGGAACCCAUAGGCCCCUAAGAAGAAAACAUCAACA